GCAGUAGGAAGACAAUGUUUUAAAUGUGCCACUGUGCCCACCAUUCUGCAGCCAGGGGUCUGUCCUGCAGGAAUUCCCACAUGUGGGCAUGAAGGAUCCCGUUUAAUCAUCAUGUCUCCUUCGGUUCCUCUGGACUGUGCUGGUUUCUCAGACUUGUCUUUGAUGAUUGUGACAGUUUUGAGGAGCACUAUUCAGCCCCAAACUGGAAACAUCCCGAAUACCCAUCAACAGGAGAUUGGAUACACAAACUGAGGUAUAUCUGCACAGUAGGACACGUCUCAGCAAUAAAACGGAGCAGCUGCCCAUCAUGCAACGUCAUACACGACCCUCACCCACGUCACUCUGGGUGAAAGAAACCAGAAAAG